UCCUUCACACAUACAAGUCGCACGGAUUAAAGAGCUUGCUCUUUAGUUAGUGGCGAACGGGUGAGUAAUAUAUCGGAACAUAUCCGGAAGUGGGGGAUAACGUAGCGAAAGUUACGCUAAUACCGCAUAUGCCCUGAGGGGGAAAGGGGGGGAUCGCAAGACCUCUCGCUUUCGGAGUGGCCGAUAUCGGAUUAGCUAGUAGGUGAGGUAAAGGCUCACCUAGGCGACGAUCCGUAGCUGGUCUGAGAGGACGACCAGCCACACUGGAACUGAGACACGGCCCAGACUCCUACGGGAGGCAGCAGUGGGGAAUAUUGGACAAUGGGCGAAAGCCUGAUCCAGCCAUACCGCGUGUGUGAAGAAGGCCUUCGGGUUGUAAAGCGC
rnacentral:rRNA from 1 species